AUGCAGCAGCCGCCGCAGGAAAUCCACGCCUACGGCUACAGCGCCGGCGCCGCGCCCGCCCACGGCGUCGGCGUCGUGCCAACGGCCGCCGACGCUUCCCCGCGCCCUGACCAGCCCCGGCCUCCUCCCCCGCGCCGUCGGCUGAGCCCAUUCCGCAUCUUCAUCCUGGCCUUCGUCGGGGCGUGCGCGCUCGCCGGCGUCGUCGCGCUGCUCGUCUGGCUCAUCUACCGCCCCAGCGUGGUCCAGGUGGCCGUGCACGCCGCGACGCUGUCCCUGCUCGUCGCGAACUCGACGGCGGCCCCGCCGGUGCUGUCGUUCACACUCACCGCCGGCCUGAUCAUCACCAACCCCAACAGGCGCGUGGCCGUCUACUACGACCUGCUGCACGCCGAGGGCAUCUACCGCGGCCGGAGCUUCGACCGGAUCUCCCUGCCGAUGUCGUUCCAGGCCGCAAACUGCGCGGACCGCGUGCGGGCCGUGCUCCAAGGGACCUCGGCCGACGACCUGACGGCGGCGGUCUUCCCCGUCGACCUGUGGCUCGACGGGAAAGUGCGGUACAGGUACGGCGGGGCGGUGACGACCUCGGCGAGCACGCUGUCGGUGAAGUGCCCGCUGGUGCUGCAGCUCAUGGUGCCGUCGAGGAGGGUCGAGUGUACCGUGAAUCUGUGA
rnacentral:rRNA from 1 species